AUAUGAAAAUAUCCCUUAAACAUAAAUUUCUCCGUGUGUAAUUAAGUUAAUGUCUGAGUACUUGGGGAAACUGAGGAAGUGAGAAGGUUACUUUUAUUUUCUUUUGCAUCAUAAUUACUGUCCUGAAUGAGGGCAUCUUUGAACACAUUUAUUUAUAAUAUGUUUUUCAGAGAGUUUUGGCAGUUUUUGAAAUGAUUAAACAGACUCUGUUUCGUUAAUUAUUUUAUAAGCAUGAAUGCAAUUUAAGUGGAUAGAAUGUUCAUAAGAAGGUAAAGAAACCCUUUCUUAAAUCCUGUGAAAAAGAAAAUGUUUGUUUUCCUUAGCACUAAGUUGUCUCUUGUCAUCAGUUCUCAGUUUGUUCAUACCCUGGGCCUGGUCUUCCUCAGGCUCCCAUUGCACUGAAGAGAAGAGAAGAUAGCAGGCACCAGCAUCCUAUACAUCAUGGAACUAAGAAGUGCCUAUCUCUUAUCUCAACUCUGAAUCUUCAAAGAGAGUAAUAGCUAGAAUAAUUUAAACUCUCAAGCAAGGAAACACACAGAGGAUUCCUGGCUGACACAGAGGCAAUUGACAACAUUGCCCUGUGACUGGAAGAAGAAAGAAAUCAUUAGAAUUGCAACUAAUAAACUAUACAUGGAAAUGGUUCACAAGAUCUGUCCAAGUUCCAAUAUCCUCAACUCUUGUCGCCUUCAUCCAUUUGUCCUGUGUUGAGUCCACGCUUAAAGCCCACAACAUCUCUCCAGCAUCACUGGUGGGACAGUGAGCAGUUCCUGAACUUUCUGUUCAUCAGAAAGAAAGCACUAAGCUUCUGCCUUAAGGGACGUAAUUGUAUCCGAGAAGUUGCCACCUGUUCCUAGCAAACAUCAGGAGGACAAAAAAUGGUAUGUGAACUGGUGAUUUAUGGCCUGAAGGGUACCAAAGCAUAG